rnacentral:rRNA from 1 species
ACGGAAGGCAGCAGUGGGGAAUAUUGCACAAUGGGGGAAACCCUGAUGCAGCGACGCCGCGUGAGUGAAGAAGUAUUUCGGUAUGUAAAGCUCUAUCAGCAAGGAAGAUAAUGACGGUACUUGACUAAGAAGCCCCGGCUAACUACGUGCCAGCAGCCGCGGUAAUACGUAGGGGGCAAGCGUUAUCCGGAUUUACUGGGUGUAAAGGGAGCGUAGACGGUUUGGCAAGUCUGAAGUGAAAGCCCGGGGCUCAACCCCGGUAUUGCUUUGGAAACUGUUGAACUAGAGUGCAGGAGGGGUAAGCGGAAUUCCUAGUGUAGCGGUGAAAUGCGUAGAUAUUAGGAGGAACACCGGUGGCGAAGGCGGCUUACUGGACUGUAACUGACGUUGAGGCUCGAAAGCGUGGGGAGCAAACAGGAUUAGAUACCCUGGUA